rnacentral:rRNA from 1 species
AUGCUGAACAAUUGCUCUUUCUAUUGUGUUGAGUGCCACACGAUAUUCACUACACCCAAUGCACAUUAUGCUUGGAUUGUCUUGCACUUGACACAUGUGUUUAGACACUUCAUUUUAUUUGGUGUUGUGGAUGAUUCCUAUGCCUACCAUAGACCUUUCAUUGAGCAAUUUGUGAAUGAUUGCUAUGAAUUUGAGGUAGAUGCUUCCUCACUUGUCCAACAUAUUUUCAUCAAUACCUCACAUUUACAUGCUUGUCCCCAGAAUAUCCUUGAUUAUGCUCAAUUUAUGUGCUUACAUGCCAUGUCACAAUCCUUUGUCAAACCAUAUGCUUUGCAUGAUGACGACACUUGUUUGGUGAAUUUAUGUAACGCUAACAACAUUUGUGUAACGCUAACCACAUUUGUUUUUCCAAGUUUUUGUUGUCCUUGCUCAUUUUGA